AUUGAACGCUGGCGGCAGGCCUAACACAUGCAAGUCGAACGAGUGGCGGACGGGUGAGUAAUGUCUGGGAAACUGCCUGAUGGAGGGGGAUAACUACUGGAAACGGUAGCUAAUACCGCAUACCAUCGGAUGUGCCCAGAUGGGAUUAGCUUGUGGGUGGGGUAACGGCUCACCAAGGCGACGAUCCCUAGCUGGUCUGAGAGGAUGAACAGCCACCAUGGAACUGAGACACGGUCCAGACUACUACGGUAGGCAGCAGUGUGGAAGAUUGCACAAGGGGCGCAAGCCUGAUGCAGCCAUGCCGCGUGUAUGAAGAAGGCCGUCGGGUUGUAAAGUACUUUCAGCGGGGAGGCGUUACCCGCAGAAGAAGCACCGGCUAACGCCGUGCCAGCAGCCGCGGUAAUUC
rnacentral:rRNA from 1 species